ACCUUCGUGGUGUAAUGGUCAGCACACUUGGCGGGUAUUCAAAAGGACCGAGGUUCGAGUCCUGGCGAGGGUC
rnacentral:tRNA from 1 species